CCUACGGGUGGCAGCAGUGAGGAAUAUUGGUCAAUGGUCGUAAGACUGAACCAGCCAAGUCGCGUGCAGGAUGACGGUCCUGUGGGUUGUAAACCGCUUUUGUCAGGGAACAAAGUCGGGCACGUGUCACCGUAUGUAGGUACCGCAUGAAUAAGGACCGGCUAACUCCGUGCCAGCAGCCGCGGUAAUACGGAGGAUGCGGGCGUUAUCCGGAUUUAUUGGGUUUAAAGGGUGCGCAGGCGGUCUGUUAAGUGAGCGGUAAAAGUCCGGGGCUAAACCCCGGCCCGCCGUUGAAACUGGCAGGCUUGAGUGGGCGAGAAGUAUGCGGAAGUCGCGGUGUAGCGGUGAAAUGCAUAGAUAUCGCGAAGAACUCCGAUUGCGAAGGCAGCAUGCGG
rnacentral:rRNA from 1 species